ensembl:rRNA 5S_rRNA 5S ribosomal RNA
AUCUACGGCCAUACCACCCUGAACGCGCCCGAUCUCGUCUGAUCUCGGAAGCUAAGCAGGGUCGGGCCUGGUUAGUACUUGGAUGGGAGGAAUGGGACCUCUCUUGUGAUAAUGGGGAAUGUACACA